GACUAGUCAGAGGACAGAGCCAGGAGGAAGGGGAGCAGGCAGCACCGCCCAUCUCCCUGCCCAUAUCUGGCCCGGAGCUGGACCAUCCUUGACCUGAUCACACACACCAAAGCCAGAGUCUCUGGAAGUGGAUUGUACCUGCAACUAUGGUAAAAAGAAAUGAUCCAUACACCUGGCUAAGUGCAACCUGAGCUGUUUACCGAAGGAGGAACUGGCUCCUUGCUGGGAGGCUGUGAGCUAUCGGACUGGACACACAAGUGGUCACGGUGACGUCAACUGGGCUGAUGAAUCCACCAGCAAAGGGGAUAUCUGAUUGCUCAACGCCAGGAGUGGAGACGCGGAGGAAACCCGGGAACUUGGUCGGCCCAAGCUGCGCAUGCUCCCAGGGCGGCCUUGGAGGCCACGUGUUGCAAGCGCACCAGGUCCUCUUUCUCCAUUCUGCUAGACCCAAGCUUAAAUGGUAUCAUCUGAAAACUGAAUUCGCUAACCCAGAAGAUUCCAUGACCAUGACGGGGAUGAUAAACUCCAUUAGCUCUGGACCAUCCAUCACAGCUCGACACUCAGAGGUGAUGUCAAAUCUUUGA
rnacentral:lncRNA from 1 species